rnacentral:tRNA from 1 species
GGUGGCUCAGUGGUAGAGUGCUUGCCUUGCAUGCAGGAGGCCCUUAGGUUCGAUUCCUCAGCACCA